rnacentral:tRNA from 1 species
GCCCAGGAAAUCUGGGGGCUAGGAUUCUACUGGUGUCUCGGCGGUUCGAUUCCGUCCCUGGGCACCA